rnacentral:misc_RNA from 1 species
AGAGGGGACGUAACAAGUCGGAUAGAGGGGAGCUGGAUUUAUGACGUUCUGAUGAUACAAUCGAAUCAAAUAAACCAUCUAUAAAUCAGUGUCCGAUUCGAGUGAUAUCUUGUCGGACGUCAUUUCUUCGUGCAUCAGGAAUAUAAAGGCAGUGAAGCUCAAGGUUCGAAGACAAAAAGUGCAGACCCACAAGACGGCAUAUUGUCCGUACUCUGUGGUUAAGUGAACAAAGAGCGCACGAGACCGGCCUAAUAAGGAUCUUCACGCGUUAUAAUGUUCGGUUUCAGAUUAUUUGAUAAUCCCUUUGUUUGUGUUAUCCGAGUUUCUAAUUUGUGGUCGUAAUCGUAGUCGAUACUAUUUCUUGAUGAUUCAAUUUCCUCAUCUCAAACAUUUGUAUUUCCUGUGUGUUUACAUAACAUUGACAUCCACUAGUAAAUAAAUUUAAAUUUUAAAAUU